GUACAGAGGGGCUCAGUGGUAGAGUGCUUGUUUUGCAUGCAUGAGGCCCUGGGUUCGAUUCCUCUGCACU
rnacentral:tRNA from 1 species